rnacentral:rRNA from 1 species
CCUACGGGAGGCAGCAGUGAGGAAUAUUGGUCAAUGGCCGAGAGGCUGAACCAGCCAAGUAGCGUGAGGGAAGACGGCCCUACGGGUUGUAAACCUCUUUUGUCGGGGAGCAAAGCGAACCACGUGUGGUUCAUUGCGAGUACCCGAAGAAAAAGCAUCGGCUAAAUCCGUGCCAGCAGCCGCGGUAAUACGGAGGAUGCGAGCGUUAUCCGGAUUUAUUGGGUUUAAAGGGUGGGCAGGCGGAGGUGCAAGCCAGCGGUCAAAUUGCGGGGCUCAACCCCGUACUGCCGUGGAAACUGAGUGGCUAGAGUGCAGGAGAGGUAAGCGGAAUUCCUAGUGUAGCGGUGAAAUGCGUAGAUAUUAGGAGGAACACCAGUGGCGAAGGCGGCUUACUGGACUGUAACUGACGUUGAGGCUCGAAAGCGUGGGGAGCAAACAGGAUUAGAUACCCGGGUAGUC